rnacentral:rRNA from 1 species
ACGCUCGACACCUACGGGGAGGCAGCAGUGGGGAAUAUUGCACAAUGGGGGAAACCCUGAUGCAGCGACGCCGCGUGAGCGAAGAAGUAUUUCGGUAUGUAAAGCUCUAUCAGCAGGGAAGAAACUGACGGUACCUGACUAAGAAGCACCGGCUAAAUACGUGCCAGCAGCCACGGUAAUCUGAGCGGGCUGGCAAGGC